rnacentral:rRNA from 1 species
GACGAACGCUGGCGGCGUGCCUAAUACAUGCAAGUCGAACGCAUUUUCUUUCACCGUAGCUUGCUACACCGAAAGAAAAUGAGUGGCGAACGGGUGAGUAACACGUGGGUAACCUGCCCAUCAGCGGGGGAUAACACUUGGAAACAGGUGCUAAUACCGCAUAAUUCCAUUUACCGCAUGGUAGAUGGGUGAAAGGCGCUUUUGCGUCACUGAUGGAUGGACCCGCGGUGCAUUAGCUAGUUGGUGGGGUAACGGCCUACCAAGGCUGCGAUGCAUAGCCGACCUGAGAGGGUGAUCGGCCACACUGGGACUGAGACACGGCCCAGACUCCUACGGGAGGCAGCAGUAGGGAAUCUUCGGCAAUGGACGCAAGUCUGACCGAGCAACGCCGCGUGAGUGAAGAAGGUUUUCGGAUCGUAAAACUCGGUUGUUAGAGAAGAACAAGGAUGAGAGUGGAAAGUUCAUCCCUUGACGGUAUCUAACCAGAAAGCCACGGCUAACUACGUG